UCGGGAAUUUUGGGCAAUGGGCGAAAGCCUGACCCAGCAACGCCGCGUGAAGGAUGAAGUAUUUCGGUAUGUAAACUUCGAAAGAAUAGGAAGAAUAAAUGACGGUACUAUUUAUAAGGUCCGGCUAACUACGUGCCAGCAGCCGCGGUAAUACGUAGGGACCAAGCGUUGUUCGGAAUCACUGGGCGUAAAGCGCACGUAGGCGGAUAGUUAAGUCAGGGGUGAAAUCCUGGGGCUCAACCCCAGAACUGCCUUUGAUACUGGCUGUCUCGAGGUCGAGAGAGGUUGGUGGAAUUCCUAGUGUAGAGGUGAAAUUCGUAGAUAUUAGGAAGAACACCAGUGGCGAAGGCGGCCAACUGGCUCGAUACUGACGCUGAGGUGCGAAAGCGUGGGGAGCAAACAGGAUUAGAUACCCAAGUAGUCCCUGAGCGGGCUGGCAAGGCGCAU
rnacentral:rRNA from 1 species